AUUGAACGCUGGCGGCAGGCUUAACACAUGCAAGUCGAGCGGAGAUGAGGUGCUUGCACCUUAUCUUAGCGGCGGACGGGUGAGUAAUGCUUAGGAAUCUGCCUAUUAGUGGGGGACAACAUUCCGAAAGGAAUGCUAAUACCGCACACGUCCUACGGGAGAAAGCAGGGGAUCUUCGGACCUUGCGCUAAUAGAUGAGCCUAAGUCGGAUUAGCUAGUUGGUGGGGUAAAGGCCUACCAAGGCGACGAUCUGUAGCGGGUCUGAGAGGAUGAUCCGCCACACUGGGACUGAGACACGGCCCAGACUCCUACGGGAGGCAGCAGUGGGGAAUAUUGGACAAUGGGGGGAACCCUGAUCCAGCCAUGCCGCGUGUGUGAAGAAAGCCUUAUGGUUGUAAAGCACUUUAAGCGAGGAGGAGGCUACUGAGACUAAUACUCUUGGAUAGUGGACGUUACUCGCAGAAUAAGCACCGGCUAACUCUGUGCCAGCAGCCGCCGCCGUAA
rnacentral:rRNA from 1 species